GACGAACGCUGGCGGCGUGCUUAACACAUGCAAGUCGAACGGUAAGGCCCUUCGGGGUACACGAGUGGCGAACGGGUGAGUAACACGUGGGUGAUCUGCCCUGCACUUCGGGAUAAGCCUGGGAAACUGGGUCUGAUACCGGAUAGGACUCCGGACUGCAUGGUCUGGGGUGGAAAGCUUUUGCGGUGUGGGAUGGGCCCGCGGCCUAUCAGCUUGUUGGUGGGGUGAUGGCCUACCAAGGCGACGACGGGUAGCCGGCCUGAGAGGGUGACCGGCCACACUGGGACUGAGAUACGGCCCAGACUACUACGGGGGGGAGCAGUGGGGAAUAUUGCACAAUGGGCGCAAGCCUGAUGCAGCGACGCCGCGGGAGGGAUGACGGCCUUCGGGUUGUAAACCUCUUUCAGCAUCGACGAAGCGAAAGUGACGGUAGGUGCAGAAGAAGGACCGGCCAACUACGUGCCAGCAGCCGCCGUAACAC
rnacentral:rRNA from 1 species